AGUAAAGUCAGCUAAUCAAGCUUUUGGGCCCAUACCCCAAACAUGUUGGUUAAAAUCCUUCCUCUACUA
rnacentral:tRNA from 2 species